AUGGGCAGAACCUUGAGGACACUUGCAGGACUUUUCUUCCUGUUCUUGUGGCUGCAGCUGCACUGUGUGAGAGGAGGAGAGACGGUGGAGCAGAGUCCUUCUUUCCUGAGUGUCCGGGAGGGAGACAGCUGUGUUAUCAACUGCACUUACACAGACAGUGCCUCCACCUACUUCUUUUGGUAUAAGCAAGAACCUGGAGCAGGUCUCCAGUUCCUUAUAAAUAUUCUCUCAAGUAUGGAUAAGAAAGAAGAGCAAAGACUUACUGUCCUCAUGAAUGAGAAAGACAAACAUCUUUCCCUGCGCAUCAGAGUUGCCCGUGUUGCAGACUCUGCUGUGUACUUCUGCGCAGCAUUAGCACAGCCCUGCUCAGGCACCUGCAGCCUCAUCUCUGCCACCCAUGUUCCAAUGGCUGCCUUGGUGAUGACCAACCCCAUCACCGUACAGUGGCUUGCGUCCCUCUGCAUCAUCCAUUAA